UACGUAGGGUGCGAGCGUUGUCCGGAAUUAUUGGGCGUAAAGAGCGUGUAGGCGGUCCGGUAAGUCAGCUGUGAAAGUCAAGGGCUCAACCCUUGAAAGCCGGUUGAUACUGUCGGGCUAGAGUCCGGAAGAGGCGAGUGGAAUUCCCGGUGUAGCGGUGAAAUGCGCAGAUAUCGGGAGGAACACCAAUGGCGAAGGCAGCUCGCUGGGACGGUACUGACGCUGAGACGCGAAAGCGUGGGGAGCAAACAGG
rnacentral:rRNA from 1 species